AUUGAACUCGCUGUGAAGAUGCAGUGUACCCGCGGCAAGACGGAAAGACCCCGUGAACCUUUACUAUAGCUUGACACUGAACAUUGAGCCUUGAUGUGUAGGAUAGGUGGGAGGCUUUGAAGUGUGGACGCCAGUCUGCAUGGAGCCGACCUUGAAAUACCACCCUUUAAUGUUUGAUGUUCUAACGUUGACCCGUAAUCCGGGUUGCGGACAGUGUCUGGUGGGUAGUUUGACUGGGGCGGUCUCCUCCUAAAGAGUAACGGAGGAGCACGAAGGUUGGCUAAUCCUGGUCGGACAUCAGGAGGUUAGUGCAAUGGCAUAAGCCAGCUUGACUGCGAGCGUGACGGCGCGAGCAGGUGCGAAAGCAGGUCAUAGUGAUCCGGUGGUUCUGAAUGGAAGGGCCAUCGCUCAACGGAUAAAAGGUACUCCGGGGAUAACAGGCUGAUACCGCCCAAGAGUUCAUAUCGACGGCGGUGUUUGGCACCUCGAUGUCGGCUCAUCACAUCCUGGGGCUGAAGUAGGUCCCAAGGGUAUGGCUGUUCGCCAUUUAAAGUGGUACGCGAGCUGGGUUUAGAACGUCGUGAGACAGUUCGGUCCCUAUCUGCCGUGGGCGCUGGAGAACUGAGGGGGGCUGCUCCUAGUACGAGAGGACCGGAGUGGACGCAUCACUGGUGUUCGGGUUGUCAUGCCAAUGGCACUGCCCGGUAGCUAAAUGCGGAAGAGAUAAGUGCUGAAAGCAUCUAAGCACGAAACUUGCCCCGAGAUGAGUUCUCCCUGACUCCUUGAGAGUCCUGAAGGAACGUUGAAGACGACGACGUUGAUAGGCCGGGUGUGUAAGCGCAGCGAUGCGUUGAGCUAACCGGUACUAAUGAACCGUGAGG
rnacentral:rRNA from 1 species